rnacentral:rRNA from 1 species
GAUGAACGCUGGCGGCGUGCCUAAUACAUGCAAGUCGAGCGAACAGACGAGGAGCUUGCUCCUCUGACGUUAGCGGCGGACGGGUGAGUAACACGUGGAUAACCCACCUAUAAGACUGGGAUAACUUCGGGAAACCGGAGCUAAUACCGGAUAAUAUAUUGAACCGCAUGGUUCAAUAGCGAAAGACGGUUUUGCUGUCACUUAUAGAUGGAUCCGCGCCGCAUUAGCUAGUUGGUAAGGUAACGGCUUACCAAGGCAACGAUGCGUAGCCGACCUGAGAGGGUGAUCGGCCACACUGGAACUGAGACACGGUCCAGACUCCUACGGGAGGCAGCAGUAGGGAAUCUUCCGCAAUGGGCGAAAGCCUGACGGAGCAACGCCGCGUGAGUGAUGAAGGUCUUCGGAUCGUAAAACUCUGUUAUUAGGGAAGAACAAAUGUGUAAGUAACUAUGCACGUCUUGACGGUACCUAAUCAGAAAGCCACGGCUAACUACGUG